UACGUAGGGUGCAGGCGUUAAUCGGAAUUACUGGGCGUAAAGCGUGCGCAGGCGGCUAUGCAAGACAGAUGUGAAAUCCCCGGGCUCAACCUGGGAACUGCAUUUGUGACUGCAUGGCUAGAGUACGGUAGAGGGGGAUGGAAUUCCGCGUGUAGCAGUGAAAUGCGUAGAUAUGCGGAGGAACACCGAUGGCGAAGGCAAUCCCCUGGACCUGUACUGACGCUCAUGCACGAAAGCGUGGGGAGCAAACAGG
rnacentral:rRNA from 1 species